rnacentral:rRNA from 1 species
GUCGCUACUACCGAUUGAGUGCAUUAGUGAGGACCUCGGAUUGAGAUCAUUGUGUCGCAAGGCACUAUGUUUUCGAAAAGUGGUUCAAAUUUGUGCAUUUAGAGAUAGUAA